AAAAAAAACCGGUCAGUUAAUAUCCUCGAACUUUCUCCCUUUAGUCAGCAUUGGGGUUUUAAACCCUGAACUGAACUCUUUCCUUUAGUCAGCAUUAGGGUUUUAAACCCUAAACUGAACUCUUUCCUUUAGUCGGCAUUAGGGUUUUAAACCCUAAACUGAACUUUUUCCAUUCAGUCAGCAUUAAGGUUUUAAACCCUAAACCUAACUUUUCCUUUAGUCAGCAUUAGGGUUUUAAACCCUAAACUGAACUCUUUUCCAUUCAGUCAGCAUUAGGG
rnacentral:lncRNA from 1 species